rnacentral:rRNA from 1 species
AUUGAACGCUGGCGGCAGGCCUAACACAUGCAAGUCGAACGAGUGGCGGACGGGUGAGUAAUGUCUGGGAAACUGCCUGAUGGAGGGGGAUAACUACUGGAAACGGUAGCUAAUACCGCAUACCAUCAGAUGUGCCCAGAUGGGAUUAGCUAGUUGGUGAGGUAAUGGCUCACCAAGGCGACGAUCAGUGGCUGGUCUGAGAGGAUGAUCAGCAAAAUUGGGACUGAGACACGGCCCAAACUCCUACGGGAGGCAGCAGUGGGGAAUAUUGGACAAUGGGCGCAAGCCUGAUCCAGCCAUGCCGCGUGAGUGAUGAAGGCCUUAGGGUUGUAAAGCUCUUUUGUCCGGGACUGUACCGGAAGAAUAAGCCCCGGCUAACUUCGUGCCAGCAGCCGCGGUAAUUC